UUCUGGCAAGCCUAAAUGUAAUAUUGUUAUUAUUACAAAUGAGACAACCAUUUUAUAGUGAGUUGCAUGUUGUAGAGGUGAUGACAAGGCCUUUUGCGUAGUGCCCUUUUUUCUGAAAACAGUAAAAAGCAAGGGAAAUCUAAUGUGAUAAUAUUUGUACCUCUGGAGACCAGAGUUUGAUUCCCUGCUUGGCCAUAGAAAGCCACUGACUGACUGUGAACUAUUCAUAUGUUCUCAGCCCCAUAAAAACCUGUGAUAGAACUGCCUUAGGGUCACUACACAUCAGAAACUGCUUGAAGGCAUACACAAUAAUAUAUUUGUGCAAGCACAUAAGAAGGUGCGUGUGUGCGUGUGGGGGGGCUCUUUCAUGAAACAGUCCCCUAUAUCCAUAGGUCAGCCUUUUGCUUAAAGAGAAACAGAAAGAAUGGAGCACAGUCCCUGGGAAAUUACCUUGGAAAAGUCCCACUAAAUAAGGCCCCACACCUCUUUUCAUAUACCCAUGCUUUAAAAAAAAAAAACCAAACCCAGAAACAAGUAGCACUGGGCAAAAAAAUCCUAGGGAAAUCCCAAUGUAGAUGCUUAUUGUGUAGCAAAUUCUUUGGUAGUUUAUUAACCAACUUACUUCAUGGCCUAGUUUCUUACUCCAUCAAAAGAAAACCUUAAUGUUUCUAUUUAUAUGGCAGUGUAAACCCAGCCUCAGAGGAUCUUCUAACUAAACCCCAGUGGAUACUGAUAGUUUACUGUAUACAGGCAUGGGUUAACUUUGUUUUGGAUUUUAACUCCCACAAUUCCUAACAGCCAGUAGGAAUUGUGGGAGUUGAAGUCCAAACACCUGGAGGACCAAAGUUUGACCAAGCCUAGUAUACAGGUAGUCCCCAAAUUAAAAACAAGAUAGGUUCUGUAGGUUUGUUCUUAAGCUGAAUUUGUUUGUAAGUUGGAACAGGUACAUUUAUUUCAGUAUAAUUCCAGCCAGAUAGAUAGACAGACAGACAGACAGAGAGAGGUUUGGACAGCAUAAGGAAGAAUUAACACCCCUGUGGUGUUUGUUUUUCUGUCUGUGCCCCUAUCAGAAGAUUUCUCCUCACUUUUUGUCCCUGUGAAAACUGGAUUUUGAAAAAAUUUGCUUGUUAUGGAAACAAAGAUUGGUGAGAAAGCCUCAGUUGAGACACCUUUUUCCCAUGAAAACUCCUUCAGGAGUUAAUUUCUCUCACUUCCUGUUGUCACAGCCCCGUUCUUAACUAUGCAUCAUUUGUAAGUCAUAUGUUUGUAACCAGGGACUGCCUGUACAUACAAACAUCUAAUAUCGAAAGACUUUGAACCGUGUGAAAGAGAAAGAGAAAAUGGAGAAUCAGGCUUAAUUGCAGGUCAGAUAAAUUGCUUCCCACUACCACCUCAAGCACAAGCAUUUUAGAAACAAACCAUUUUAGAAACCACACUUUCUGUUUCUCUUUUGUGUGGACUGUCUCUAUUAUUAGAGAGUAAGGAGCCUGCCUCUUGGUCUCCACACCAGACAAAUCCUAAUAAAUACUGUAUUCAGAUUGUGUCCUUUGCCAUCCCGAAACUCUGCUUCGAACUACGCAGGAUGUCUGAGGACUCAACUCCUUUGCAAUGUGGGACAAGAUCAUUGCUCUGAAAUGGGAGAAGCAGAUCAGGAAACGCAGAAAGGAGACAGACAGGGAGAGAACAUCAGCUUACUCGCAGUAUGAAUGUAAUCUGAAAUCAAUGUCAAUAGACUUGAAUCAGUUCAAGGAACUGGACACUUAUGCUUCAAAGGAGGUAAAUGUCAGAGACAGCGUGGAAAACCUGGUGAAAGUCUUGCUCCAAAAAGCCCACACUGAUCUGGAGAAAGUCAGAGCCAUUUGGAUGUGGAUUUGCCAUCAUAUUGUAUUGCAGGAAUACGUUGCAAAACAAUAACAGGGACUUUUGAAAGACAUACCUGGAAUGCUGUUUACAUUGAUGGAAAGUGGCACCUUUUGGACUGCACAUUUGGGAGCGGCUUUGUGGAUGAUGGCAAGUUCACUUUCAGAUAUGAUGAACUUUACUUUCUUACCCAUCCUGAUCUGUUUGAACAGGAUCAUACCCCAGAUUGCUUUAUAUUGAAGAUUUUUGUAAAGCUGGGUCUACAUAUACUUGAAUGGGUAGAAUGGAUCUGGAAAGGGAUCUCAGAAUGUUAUCAGAAUAUUGUUGAGCCAAUUUACAAGAAAAUUGCCAGUUGGUUUUCUUGUAAGACAUCACUGCAAGAACUUUCGUCUUUUUUUCUGUGAAAAGUUACUAAAAAUUAAAUUCAUCAACAUUUUUAACAAUCGGCAUUAAAAUCUAUCAACUAAUUAAUAGAUCAAUAAUACAGUAGAAUCUCACUUAUCCAACAUUUGCUUAUCCAACGUUCUGGAUUAUCCAACGCAGUCUGCCUCCUGCUUGGAUCUAAAGCUGUUUCUCUAGGCAGCAAGGACUGAACCUUUUACACAUUUAAUUUUUGACAGUGUUGUUACUGUAAUGUCAUUUUAUGAAAUUCUAUUUUUAUUUGUAGUCAAUUUGUUAGUAGCCAAUGUUUUUGUAGUCAAUGUUUUCAAUACAUUGUGAUCUUUUGGUGCUAAAUUCGUAAAUACAGUAAUUACUACAUAACGUUACUGCUUUUUCUGUUGAUUUGUUGUAAAACAUGAUGUUUUGGUGCUUAAUUUGUAAAAUUAUAACAUAACUUGACGUUUAAUAGGCUUUUCCUUAAUCCCUCCUUAUUAUCCAACAUUUUCACUUUUCCAACGUUCUGCCGGCCCAUUUAUGUUGGAUGAGAUUCUACUGUAUGUGGAUGUGAUUUUAAAAUGAUGUAACAGGCAAGCAUCUGUUGCUUUGUUUGCCAAUCUGCAAAUGGAUAUUUUAAUAUAACUUUUCACAGUACCAAAUGAUGAGCUUCUGUUCCUAAUCAUGGGUUGUCAUUAAUAUACUCAAUAAAAGAAAACCAUUGAAUCCUCUUUGUCCUUUUGAUGUUGUCUGUAGCUCUUUCCAGUGAAAUUAAUCAACUUCACAGGACUGACCAUGUUGUCCAAAUGCCCUAUCACCAUCUCCCAAAGCGGUUACUAUACUCUCAAUUCAAGAAUGGAAAACAGAAUGUUGAUGAAUAGGAAAAGACAUUUAAAGAUGGGCUUAAAGCCAACCUUAAAAACUGUGACCCAAAGAACUGGGAAGCCCUGGCCCUUGAGCACUCUAACUGGAGGUCAGCUAUUAUCAACAGUGCUGUACAAUUUGAAGAGGCAUGAAUGGAGCGCGAAAGGGAUAAAUAUGUCAAGAGGAAGAGGCAUCAAGCCAAACUUUGUCGAACCGCUUUCCAUCUGGAAAUCAAUGUCUUCACUGCAAAAGAAAAUACAGAUCAAGAAUAGGUUUCUAUAGGCACUUAUGGACCCACUGCCAAGACCCUACACUCGGAAGGCAGCCAUACUUGGCCACAAGUGAUAGCCUAUGAUGAUGAUGUUUUUCCAUUAAUCCUGUGUCCCGCAUUCUCUUUCACAUUCACUUUCUCAUUAAAAGUCUCCCAUUUUCCAGUU